CGGCAUGCCUUACACAUGCAAGUCGAACGGCAGCACGGGAGCAAUCCUGGUGGCGAGUGGCGAACGGUGAGUAAUAUAUCGGAACGUGCCCAGUCGUGGGGGAUAACGUAGCGAAAGCUACGCUAAUACCGCAUACGAUCUAUGGAUGAAAGCGGGGGAUCGCAAGACCUCGCGCGAUUGGAGCGGCCGAUAUCAGAUUAGGUAGUUGGUGAGGUAAAGGCUCACCAAGCCGACGAUCUGUAGCUGGUCUGAGAGGACGACCAGCCACACUGGGACUGAGACACGGCCCAGACUCCUACGGGAGGCAGCAGUGGGGAAUUUUGGACAAUGGGCGCAAGCCUGAUCCAGCAAUGCCGCGUGCAGGAUGAAGGCCUUCGGGUUGUAAACUGCUUUUGUACGGAACGAAACGGUGAGCUCUAAUACAGUUUGCUAAUGACGGUACCGUAAGAAUAAGCACCGGCUAACUACGUG
rnacentral:rRNA from 1 species